AGUCCUACGGGAGGCAGCAGUGAGGAAUAUUGGUCAAUGGGCGAGAGCCUGAACCAGCCAAGUCGCGUGAAGGAUGAAGGAUCUAUGGUUUGUAAACUUCUUUUAUAUGGGAAUAAAGUGAGGAACGUGUUCCUUUUUGUAUGUACCCGAAGAAAAAGCAUCGGCUAACUCCGUGCCAGCAGCCGCGGUAAUACGGAGGAUGCGAGCGUUAUCCGGAUUUAUUGGGUUUAAAGGGUGCGCAGGCGGAUUUUUAAGUCAGCGGUCAAAUCGUGGGGCUCAACCCCAUCCAGCCGUUGAAACUGGGG
rnacentral:rRNA from 1 species